rnacentral:rRNA from 1 species
CCUACGGGAGGCAGCAGUGAGGAAUAUUGGUCAAUGGGCGUAAGCCUGAACCAGCCAAGUCGCGUGAGGGAUGAAGGUUCUAUGGAUCGUAAACCUCUUUUAUAAGGGAAUAAAGUGUGGGACGUGUCCUGUUUUGUAUGUACCUUAUGAAUAAGGAUCGGCUAACUCCGUGCCAGCAGCCGCGGUAAUACGGAGGGUCCGAGCGUUAUCCGGAUUUAUUGGGUUUAAAGGGUGCGUAGGCGGCCUUUUAAGUCAGCGGUGAAAGUCUGUGGCUCAACCAUAGAAUUGCCGUUGAAACUGGGAGGCUUGAGUAUGUUUGAGGGAGGCGGAAUGCGUGGUGUAGCGGUGAAAUGCGUAGAUAUCAGGCAGAACCCCGAUUGCGAAGGCAGCCUGCCAGGCCAUGACUGACGCUGAUGCACGAAAGCGUGGGGAUCAAACAGGAUUAGAUACCCCGGUAGUC